rnacentral:SRP_RNA from 2 species
GCCAGGGGUGGUGGUGCAUCCCUGUAAUCCCAGCUACUUGGGAGGCUGAGGUGGGAGAAUCGCUUGCACCUGGGAGGUGGAGGCUGCAGUGAGCCGAGAUCACAUCACUGCACUCCAGCCUGGGCGACAGAGUGAAACCCCAUCUCAA